UAGUCGCAAGUUAAAUUUAAAGGUCACAGUUUAAACAUAAUCCAUGUGUGUUUUAGCCCCCUGUUGUAAUACACAUGUACAUAUGACCACUGGCGAAAUUGUGCUUGCCACAAAUUAAGUGAAGGGAGUGGAGAAACCUCCAAGAAGAAGAAUUUAAAGGUCUUUAUUGGAUUUUCUGUGUAUUCUACAUUGUUCUGAAUGCAAACUUACAAGAAAUAUACUGAAUUAAUAUCUUCAUAUAAGAAUGUACAUUAAUUACUAAUAGUCAUAAGGUGGAGCUGAUAGCAACUUGCCUCUAAUGUAUAGUUGACAACCUUAAGUUCUCCAAAAAGUGGAAAGCAUUGUUUAAUAGCAAUUUGCAAAUAGUGGAAACCUUAACUGCUGAAAGUGACCAAAAAUAUUACUUGUUGCUUCCUACAUGAUCCCUAGAUUGGAAAACAUUUAUGAAUGGUAGAUGCAUAGAAAAUACUGGAAAAACAAAAAUGUUUAUUUUCAUCAAAUUCCCAGAAAGAGGCUAAAAAUCAACAUUCAUAUUCAACAUUCUUCUGGAAGCAAGUGCUUACGAAAAUACAGGCCAUUUUCGAAAACGUUCUUUUCCAAACUAUCUAAUACUAAAGUUUGAUAAUUAAUUGUGAUGAAACUAUGGUAGCUACAAACUUGUAUUUACACUCAUUUUAAUCUCUCUAUAUCUCUUCUGAGAGUUGGUGUAUACGAAAAUGCAUUUAAUUUUCGAGGACGCUAUUUCCCCAACUCAUUUGUGAAAUACCAAAGUUUGUUAAUCACUUACGACGACGCCUUUGUAGCUACAAAUUAACAUUUACAUUCAUUUUGAUACGUGUAUAUGCAAGAUCAACAUCCAUUUAUAAAAUUCUUCUGGUAGCUCAAGUUUAAGAAAAUACAGGCCAUUAUCUAAGUCGUUGUUUUCCUAAUUUUUCUGCAAAUUGUAUAUGUAUGUUUGGUUGCCUGUACUUUAGGCGCGUAAUAUGAAUGUUCCUCUAAAAUAGAAUAAAAACCAUAGCUGGCGAAAUUGUGCAAGACGCGCAAGCCAAGUGAAGUGUGGAUAGGAAAAGGAAGUAGAAGUAAAAUAGAUAUAGUUUAAAAUAAGUGAAAAUAUAGAUUGAUAGUUAUAUAAAAUACUUUCUGGGAAUUUGAUGAAAAAAAAACAUUUUUGUUUUCCCAGUAUUUUCUAUGCAUCACAAAUGUUUUCCAAUCUCUAAGGAUCAUGUACGAAGCAACAAUAGAAGCAUGGGUGCUAUAGGGUUCAUUGUUGUUACCCAUCUCCUUAAUGAAGUAAUAUUUAUGGUUACAUUCAGCA